rnacentral:rRNA from 1 species
AUGUCGCAAAGAGAUCAAGCACAAACACGAGCAAUGAAGAGCUUGGCUGCUGUUCUCCUCGUAGCGAUCCUGCUCCAGCUCGCCGGCUGCAGCCCUCCACCGGACCCGGUGACCUGCACGGAUGGCACGUCCAACUGCACGGUCACCAACACGUACGGCUCCUUCACGGACCGCACCAUCUGCCACGCGGCCAACGUCGUCUACCCGAGCACCGAGCAGGAGCUGAUCGCGGCCGUGGCGGCCGCGGCGUUGGCCAAACGCAAGAUGAAGGUGGCCACCAAGCACUCGCACAGCGGCCCCAAGCUGGCGUGCCCCGGCGGCAGCGAGGGCACGAUCAUAAGCACCACACGGCUGAACCGGACGGUUUCCAUCGACGCCGAGAGGCAGUUCAUCACGGUGGAGAGCGGCAUGGUCCUCCAGGACCUGAUCCAGGCCGCCGCCGCAGCAGGGUUAUCCUUGCCGCACUCGCCGUACUGGUACGGCCUGACCGUCGGCAGGCUCCUCGCGACGGGCGCGCAUGGGAGCGGGCUGUGGGGCAAUGGAGGCGCCGUGCACGAGUACGUGGUCGGUCUGAGGAUCGUGACGCCGGCGCCGGCGUGCGAUGGUUUCGCCAUGGUGAGGGAGCUAGGCGCCGAUCACCAGGACCUGGACGCCGCCAAGGUUUCCCUGGGGGUCCUCGGCGUCGUCUCCCAGGUGACUCUGGCCCUGCAGCCGCUGUUCAAGCGGUCGGUGACGUUCGUGGAGCGCAACGAGUCGGACUUCACGGCGCGGGUGCCCGAGUGGGGCCGUCUCCACGAGUUCGCCGACAUGAUAUGGCAGCCGCAGCACAACAAGGUCAUCUACCGCCAGGACGACCGCGUCGACGUCUCGACGCCGGGCGAUGGCCUCGGCGAGUUGUUCCUUUUCCGCUCCGUCCCCACCGCCCUGCUCGUGAGCGGAAGAGCCAUAGAGGAGCAACUGCAGGAGAACGGCACUGACAUCGCCCGGUGCGCGGCCGAGGAGGAGGGGGCCACGAGACAGCUGCCGGCCUUCGGCUUCACAAACGACGGGGUCUCCUUCACGGGGUACCCGAUUGUGGGGUACCAACACCGCAUCCAGGCGUCUGGCUCAUGCAUCGACGGCCCAGAGGAUGCCCUCCUCUCCUCCUGCGCCUGGGACCCGCGCAUCCGGGGAUCUUUCAUGUACAACUCCGGCUUCAGCGUCGCACUCUCCAAGGCGCCGGCGUUCAUAGCCGACAUGCUAAAGCUCCGGGACCUCAACCCGGACGCAUUCUGUGCCGCCCUCGACGGCAGGGUGGGCCUGGUCCUCCGUUACGUCAAGGCAUCCUCCGCGUACCUCGGCAAGCACGAGGACUCUAUCGAUGUCGACAUCCUCUUCUACCGGAGCCGCACCGACGGCAUGCCGCAUGCCCAUGCCGAUGUGGUGGACGAGAUCGAACAGAUGGCGUUGGGUAAGUACGGCGGUCUGCCACACUGGGGCAAGAACCGCAACUUCGCCUUCGACGGUGCGAUCGCAAGGUACCCCAAAGCCGAUAAGUUCCUCAAGGUAAAGAGCAGGUACGACCCGGACGGGCUCUUCUCGAGCGAGUGGACCGACCAGGUGCUUGGUAUCAACGGAACUCCCAACAUCAUCAAAAAUCAUUGUGCCAUUGAAGGACUCUGCGUCUGCUUCAACGACUCACAUUGUGCGCCGGAACAGGGCUAUUUCUGCCGGCCAGGGAAGGUUUACAAGAAGGCUAAAGUUUGCUCCUCGGAGCAGGAUUAUUAG